UACGUAGGGUGCGAGCGUUAAUCGGAAUUACUGGGCGUAAAGUGUGCGCAGGCGGCCGAGCAAGUCGAGUGUGAAAGCCCCGAGCUUAACUUGGGAACUGCGCUCGAAACUACUUGGCUAGAGUGUGGCAGAGGGAGGUGGAAUUCCACGUGUAGCGGUGAAAUGCGUAGAGAUGUGGAGGAACACCGAUGGCGAAGGCAGCCUCCUGGGCCAAUACUGACGCUCAUGCACGAAAGCGUGGGGAGCAAACAGG
rnacentral:rRNA from 1 species